UCCCUCAGUAAGCAAGAGCGUUACCGCUACGCCACGGAACUAUUGCUGCAACCGGUAAAAAGGUUCCUUCUACUUAAGUUACAUAUAGAACUUUGAGUUGAAAUUUCUCAAUAAUAAAAACGAAUGGCGUCUUGCCGCUUUAUAUAUUUAUUGAGGGGACCCUGCCCUACAAUAUAUAUAAAAGUGAUGGAAAUCUGUGAUUCCCAAGUUUGACACUCCCCUUGUGAGAUGAAUAUUAUCACAG